UCCAAAUAUAUCUCAGAUCGUGGGUGCGUCUGGAAACUUCUUGGUCAUGGAAACAAAUUGAAAAUAUGCAUUCAGUUCUUGAGAAGGGAGGACAUCAAAUUUUAAAUCACAGUGAAGGAAUUUUCGGCAGGUGACAUCGCAAUUUCGAUUGGUUUCAGCCAGACUACACUGAUUUUGUCAAGUUUAGUGGAGAUAUUCUGAACUUGAUCUGUAAAAUGUGGAAAAUUUCUGAGCUUAUUGGCAAGAACAUCCUAAAGCGGUUAUAUCAAUCUGAAGGGAUCAUACAUUUCAAUCUGCCAGCAAAGGUACGGAGGGUUCCUCAUGCAAAUGAUGAGGGAGUUCUUACACCUGAGAAGGGGAGUAAACAACUUGCCGCUGCUUUUAGUAAGCCGCCUAUGCCACCAUUGCUUGGGCCCUUUUUCAUCUUCUCCAUCCUCGAAAUGUCCUUACAUACAGAUAGAAAAAAUGAAUGAUUUUCCAGUCUUUGAUUUGUGAAAAAUGGUAGUGAGUUUCAACCAAUGACAUAAUGUGUAUAUGGUUUUCUGGUUCUUUUGUAAUACAGCAGCCCAAUAUCUUAUAGCUUUCCGCAUUCUACAUGAGUACCUUGUUCAAUUAUAUAGUUGUUGUUCAUGAGUAGUAUAUAGGUUCCUUUGAAUGUGAAUAUAAGCUGGGCUACCUCCAUUUUAUUAUGUUUUCAGUAUGAGACAUGAAGGUGCUUCUUUUGAAUGAAGCCUAUGUUAUGCAACUGAUAGAUACGCUAUCAAAUUGUACUAUGGGUGUUAACUGCAAUAUUUACAAUGAAAAAAGCUCAAGCAGGACGAGUUCUAAAUGUUAUAAUA